GUUUGCUUAGUGGUUCGAGCGUCCGCCUCGAAUGCUUGAGGUCGCUGGUUCGAACCACGGCCAGGCCA